rnacentral:rRNA from 1 species
CCUACGGGAGGCAGCAGUGGGGAAUCUUGGGCAAUGGGCGGGAGCCUGAACCAGCCAAGCCGCGUGAGGGAAGAAGGUACAGCGUAUCGUAAACCUCUUUUGUAAGGGAACAAAGGCGGGGACUAGUCCCCGGAUGAGGGUACCUGAAGAAAAAGCAUCGGCUAACUCCGUGCCAGCAGCCGCGGUAAUACUGAGGAUGCGAGCGUUAUCCGGAUUUAGUGGGUUUAAAGGGUGCGCAGGCGGCCUGUUAAGUCAGCGGUAAAAGCCCGGGGCUCAACCCCAGCGAGCCGUUGAAACUGGCGGGCUGGAGUGGGAGAGAAGUACGCGGAAUGCGAGGUGUAGCGGUGAAAUGCUUAGAUAUCGCGCAGAACCCCGAUGGCGAAGGCAGCGUACUGGCUCCACACUGACGCUGAGGCACGAAAGCGUGGGUAUCGAACAGGAUUAGAUACCCUUGUAGUC